AUUGAACGCUGGCGGCAUGCUUUACACAUGCAAGUCGAACGGUAACAGGCCUUCUGGUGCUGACGAGUGGCGAACGGGUGCGUAAUGCAUCGGAACGUACCCAGAGGUGGGGGAUAACGCAGCGAAAGCUGUGCUAAUACCGCAUGUGAUCUGAGGAUGAAAGCGGGGGACCGAGCAGCAAUGUUUGGCCUCGCGCCUUUGGAGCGGCCGAUGUCGGAUUAGCUAGUUGGUGGGGUAAAGGCCUACCAAGGCGACGAUCCGUAGCUGGUCUGAGAGGACGACCAGCCACACUGGGACUGAGACACGGCCCAGACUCCUGCGGGAGGCAGCAGUGGGGAAUUUUGGACAAUGGGCGCAAGCCUGAUCCAGCAAUGCCGCGUGCGGGAGGAAGGCCUUCGGGUUGUAAACCGCUUUUGGCAGGAACGAAACGGUGUCCGCUAAUACCGGGCGCUAAUGACGGUACCUGCAGAAUAAGCACCGGCUAACUACGUG
rnacentral:rRNA from 1 species